rnacentral:rRNA from 1 species
CCUACGGGAGGCAGCAGUGGGGAAUAUUGCACAAUGGGGGGAACCCUGAUGCAGCGACGCCGCGUGAGUGAAGAAGUAUUUCGGUAUGUAAAGCUCUAUCAGCAGGGAAGAAAAUGACGGUACCUGACUAAGAAGCCCCGGCUAACUACGUGCCAGCAGCCGCGGUAAUACGUAGGGGGCAAGCGUUAUCCGGAUUUACUGGGUGUAAAGGGAGCGCAGACGGCUGUGCAAGUCUGGAGUGAAAGGCGGGGGCCCAACCCCCGGACUGCUCUGGAAACUGUAAAGCUGGAGUGCAGGAGAGGUAAGCGGAAUUCCUAGUGUAGCGGUGAAAUGCGUAGAUAUUAGGAGGAACACCAGUGGCGAAGGCGGCCUGCUGGACUGAAACUGACGUUGAGGCUCGAAAGCGUGGGGAGCAAACAGGAUUAGAUACCCCAGUAGUC